UACGUAGGUGGCAAGCGUUGUCCGGAUUUACUGGGCGUAAAGGAUGCGUAGGCGGACAUUUAAGUCAGAUGUGAAAUACCCGAGCUUAACUUGGGUGCUGCAUUUGAAACUGGGUGUCUAGAGUGCAGGAGAGGUAAGUGGAAUUCCUAGUGUAGCGGUGAAAUGCGUAGAGAUGUGGAGGAACACCAGUGGCGAAGGCGACUUUCUGGUCUGUAACUGACGCUGAGGCGCGAAAGCGUGGGGAGCAAACAGG
rnacentral:rRNA from 1 species